ensembl:snRNA U6 U6 spliceosomal RNA
GUACUUGUUUCAGCAGCACAUAUGCUAAAAUUGGAAUUAUACAGAGAUUACCAUAGAACCUAAAUAAGAAUGGCAGAUGCUUUCACAAAGCAACCCAUAAAAUU